rnacentral:rRNA from 1 species
UACGUAGGGUGCAAGCGUUAAUCGGAAUUACUGGGCGUAAAGCGUGCGCAGGCGGCUUUGCAAGACAGAUGUGAAAUCCCCGGGCUUAACCUGGGAACUGCAUUUGUGACUGCAUGGCUGGAGUGCGGCAGAGGGGGAUGGAAUCCGCGUGUAGCAGUGAAAUGCGUAGAGAUGUGGAGGAAUACCGAUGGCGAAGGCAGCCCCCUGGGAUAACACUGACGCUCAUGCACGAAAGCGUGGGGAGCAAACAGG